rnacentral:lncRNA from 1 species
CUCAUCAUAUCCCUAUACCUCAUUCUCGACACUUCUCCUCUCACUGUCUUUCCCUUGGACUCGUAAGCUCACAAUCCCAUGAUUCAGAAAGCAGAGCUGAGAGUGAUAACAAUGAAGCUGUCUCCGGAGAUGAUCUUGAAGCAGGAGAUGAACCUCUAAGGAAGAAGAAACGUUACUAGCGUCACACUGCUAAACAAAUUCAAGACCUCGAAUCCUAAUACUCUUUCUUCUUAAUAAUCGUAAUACUUUUUCUUCUUAACCACACAAAACUCCUCUUCUUGUUCCAUCAUUACACGAUUUGAAUCUUUAUUACACGAUAAAUCACUUCAAUUUCAAACAAUAGAUUUUUCUUUUGGGUCUUUGUGAUUGAUUGAAAUCACUUCAAUUCAGCUAAUUUUACAUUCAUGUUGCAUAAUUAAGUUUCUGAGUUUCAUACCACCAUAUUCAGAAAAUGUGAGCAAAAUACGUUUAAAAUUAUUGGAGUAUUUUUAUGGGUCAACCCGUUAAAACCAUUAACCCACUAAUUUUUAUGAGUUAUGGUAUUAUCUAAUCCAUUUGCUUAAUGGGUUGGGUUAACUCAUGAUCCAAAAAGAACUCAAUCCAUAUGGAUAUGGUUUGGUUUGGGUUGGUUUACGCAUUUUGACACCUCUAACCGUGCGGUCGCACGGGUCAAGCUCUAGUGUAGAUUAGGAGUGAAGUCUUGAGCCCAAAUAUGCCGGUCCUAUAAAUUAAUGAAUUUGGACUUAGUUACAUAUGCUCAAAAUUGAGCGUUUUAUACUAAACUUUAAUCAAAAUUGAGCGUUUUAGUUUAGACAGCACCAUUUUGUGAUUAGAAUGAUUAUUGAUAUUAUCAUAUUGUUUUAAUACUCGUGAUCCAAACAAUACCAAAGUGAAUAUGAGAAUCGUAAAUGUAAUUUACAAUUUGAUCAUUACAAGAGAUAUUUCAAAUUCGAUAAUGCAUUUAUCUUUAUGUAGACCUUGUUUUGCGACAUUUUACUGCGUUUGGUAUAAAUUUUGUUUUUAUAUAUCUACCUUUAAUUUAUAGCAUUUGAUCAUUUGGUCGGGAAUCAAGAUUGUCAAUGGAUUGGAAAAGUUUGGCAUAAUGGCUCUCAUUGGAUUGCUGGUCGUCUUGAUGCAAUAAAGUCCGUAGUACUGAGAUGGUGGUCGUGGGUUUUUGGUGUUAUGAGAUCACCGGGUAUCAUUAAACCCGAAUAUCCUCGCUCGUUUGAGCAAUGCAAAAUUUUUUUUUUAUGAAAAUAUUGAGUUGGAAUUGCAGAGGAGCUGGAAGUCAGUGGACCAUAAGUUACCUUCACGAGAUCUGGCAUAAACAUAAACCAGACUUUUUAUUUUUAUCUGAGACGAAACAGGAUUUUGAUUUUGUACAAGGGUUUCAAUCACACUUUGGUUACGAUAAUUUGGUUAAAUGUGGACCCAGUUGGGAGGAGCGGUGGUUUAGCUCUCUUUUAUAACAAUGAGUAUCAAGUUCAGGUCCUAUAUUCUAGCAACAGAAUGAUAGAUAUAGAGGCGGUGGUUAUGGGAAAACAAGUUUUUAUUACUUUUGUCUAUGGAGACCCAGUCCAAAAGUUAAGAGAACAUGUUUGGGAAAGAUUAACUCGGUAUGGGUUAUCAUGAUCUGAGCCUUGGUUUAUCAUUGGAGAUUUAAACGAGAUUACUGGAAAUCAUGAAAAGGAUGCAGAAUCCCUAAGAUGUGCAACUUCAUUCGUUCAGUUUAACAAUAUGAUUAGGAAUAGUGGAUUACUAGAAUUCCCGGCUCAUGGAAAAAAAAUGUCAUGGCAAGGAAGGAGAGGUAAAGGAAAAGGGGCAGUGACGAUACGAUGUCGACUGGAUCGAGCUUUGGCAAAUGAGGAGCGGCAUACACUCUUUCCAAGCCCUUAUACAGAAUACUUAGGGAUGGUGGCAUCGGAUCAUCGACCUGUGGAUAUUCUCGAUAUUUCCAGGAAAUUACAAGAUGUUUAUAAAGGAUGAGGAGGAAUAUUGGCAUCAGAAAAGUCGGAACAUGUGGUACUCAUCUGGGGACCUUAACACAAAUUAUUAUCAUGCUCUCACAAAGCAACGUCGGGUUCGUAAUAAAAUAGUGGGGCUUCAUGAUGAAGCGGAUAAUUGGAUAACAGACGAAAAAGUUGUUGAAAAGGUGACAGUUGAUUACUUUGAGGGUUUAUUUAGUACUACAUCUCCAACGGAUUUCGGAAGUUUUCUGGAGGAGAUAGUACUAUCUAUUUCCCCCCAGAUGAAUCAAAUAUUACUAAGGAUAGUAACGGAGGAGGAGAUCCGACAAGCUUUAUUUAUGAUGCAUCCUGAGAAAGCGUCAGGUCCGGAUGGAAUGACGGCUCUUUUCUUUCAGCACUCAUGGCAUGUUAUUAAAAGGGAUUUGGUUGAGAUGGUGAAUAAUUUUUUGGUCACAGGGGACAUGGAUUCACGACUAAAUAUUACUAAUAUAUGUAUGAUUCUGAAAACAGAGAGACCCACAAGGAUGACAGAAUUAAGGCCAAUAAGCCUAUGUAAUGUCAGUUAUAAGAUUAUAUCGAAAGUCUUAUGUUAAAGACUGAAGAUUUGCCUUCCACGGCAAAUAUCGGAGACACAAUCAGCUUUUGUGGCGGGAUGGCUUAUAUCGGAUAAUAUCCUUAUAGCUCAGGAAAUAUUUCAUGGAUUGCGAGCCAAUAAGUCUUGCCAAAAUAAAUUUAUGGCAAUUAAAACGGAUAUGAGUAAAGCGUAUGAUAGGGUUGAAUGGAACUUUAUUGAGGCUCUUCUCCUUAAAAUGGGGUUUGAUCCUCAUUGGGUCAAAUUGAUGUUGGAAUGCAUAUCUUCGGUUCAAUAUAGGGUACUCCUUAAUGGUCAGCCUAGGGGUCUUAUAAUUCCCAGCGGGGUUUACGUCAAGGGGAUCCGUUAUCCCCUUAUUUAUUUAUUAUGUGCACGGAGGCUUUGAUUGCAAAUAUUAAAAAGGCUGAGAGAAUGAAACAAUUAACGGGUAUGAAGGUGGUAAGAGCUUGUCCAGCAAUUUCUCAUCUGUUAUUUGCAGAUGAUAGUCUUUUCUUUUGUAAGACAAAAAAAGAAGAGUGUCAAACCAUUCUUAGGAUUUUGAAGAAAUAUGAGGUUGUGUCAGGGCAACAAAUGAAUUUCCAGAAAUCUUCAAUUCAACUAGGACAUAAGAUCAAAGAGUCCAAUCGACACGAAUUGAGAGAUAUUCUGGGAAUACAGAAUUUAGGUGGAAUGGGAUCUUAUCUGGGUUUGCCAGAGAGCCUUGGAGGGUCUAAGGUACAAGUGUUUAGCUUUGUACAAGAUCGUUUGAACAAUAGGGUCAAUGGAUGGACUUUUAAGUUUUUUACUACAGGAGGAAAGGAGGUACUUAUCAAGUCGGUGGUUACGGCUUUACCAAACUAUGUGAUGUCUUGUUAUCAAUUACCAAAGGCUAUGGCAAAGAAGUUGACGAGUGCCGUAGCUCAAUUUUUGUGGAGUCCGGGAGGAAGCACAAAGGGCAUUCAUUGGAAAUCAUGGGAUAAAGUAUGCGUACAUAAAGAUCAGGGUGGGCUUGGUUUCAAGGAUCUAAUUGAUUUUAAUACGGCUGCUUGGAAAGCAAUUGUGGCGUUUGAUAGAGAAACCAAAUACUCUUUUCGCUUGAAUUUUCAAAGGACGGUACUACAUGGAUGCUUCACCCCUUGAACCGAUCCGUUCAUAUUCCCCAUCAUAUGGCUGGAGAAGUAUCAUAUCUGCUAAAUCUCUGGUUAGCAAAGGACUAAUUAAAAGGGUGGGAACCGGUUCGUCUAUUUCGGUAUGGAAUGACCCAUGGAUCCCAACCACUCGCCCGAGACCAGCAAACAAAAACCUUCAUAAUAGUCACCCGUAUAUCACAGUUGAUUCUCUCAUUAAUUCGAAAUCCCGAACAUGGAAUUUGCAGGCGAUUCGGACUUUAGUGGAUCCGCACGAUGCCAAAAUUAUUGAAAGUAUUCCACUGAGUAGAAAUCAGCUGGAAGAUAGAGAUGGAUAGCAUUUCACUAAUAAUGGGAAAUGCACAGUAAAAUCAGGAUAUCAAGUAGAACGGGUCUAUCCUGAUAAGGAAAAACCACCAGAAUUUUAUGGACCCACUGUGGACAUAUUGAAAGCAUUCUGUUGGAAGGUGCGUUGCCCUGCGAAAAUAAAGCAUUUCUUAUGGCAACUUCUAUCAGGGUGUAUAGCGGUACUGAAAAAAUCUAAACGCAAGAAGAAUACAAGGGGACAUUUGUUGUGCAAGAUGUGGAGCUCCAGAGGAAUCCAUAAAUCAUGGUUUCUUCAAAUGCCCUCCGGCACGACAGGUGUGGGCAUUUUGAAGGAUACCAUCGAAUCCUCAUCUUUUCCUUCUCAGUUCUUUUUUUGCAAAUAUGGAUCAUCUUUUUUGGAGAUUUAAUCCAAAAAUGGAGGAUCACCAAUUUGCAUGGAUAUUAUGGUAUAUUUGGAAAUGUCGAAACAACAAAGUUUUUAGCAAUUUGGAUGUUAAUCCAAAAAAUACGCUUAAACUAGCGGAACUAGAAUCAACACUUUGGGCGGAGGCACAGGUAACAAGUAAUUAGAGGGUUGCAAAUCAAGUACAGGAAAGAAUUGUACAAACAAUACCGGGUAGAUGGUGUUUCAUAGAUGGCUCAUGGAAAGAUAAGGAACAAUUCUCAGGACAAAGCUGGUACAACACUUUAGCGGGUUUUGAUAGAUUGCUAGGGGCACGGAAUGUCAGGUCAAGUCUUUCACCUCUUCAUUCGGAGGUAGAAGCGCUAAUAUGGGCAAUGGAAUGCAUGAGGAAUUUACGGCAAUUUCAGGUCACAUUUGCGACGAAUUUUUCUCAAUUGGUAAAUAUGGUUUCGGAAUCACAAGAAUUGCCAGCGUUUGACAAUUACCUGGAAGACAUUAAGCUUCUGAAAAGAAUCUUUCUAAACUCAGAGAUCGUUCAUGCACCUCGGACGGAAAAUCAAAAGGCAGAUAGCUUAGCACGCAGUGCUAGGAAACAACCGUCUUUCGUCGUUCACAUGGAUGCAGUGUUACCGGUUUGGUUUACAGAGUCAGUAUGAGUCCGUAGAGGAUUGAUGUCAAAAAAAAAAAGAUUAUUUAAGUUGUAUUAAACUUGGUCUGUUUAUAAUUGCUUUUUAAAACUUAUGAAAUUCACUCUUGUCAAAGAAACAAAGUCUAAAUUGACUUUAUAUUUGAACGACGAUAGGUUGGAAUUGAUUUUACCAAAACUUGUUCUAAAAUAGUAGAAGUGUGACAUACAACACUAUAGUAUACCAUCUCGAAUAACCUUAUAGCCCUAUUAAUACAGAGAAAUACUUUAGAAUCUUGUAAACCUAUAAAAAUUAAUAAUAUUGGAACUUGGACAAUUUAUUGAUUAUGAAGUUUAAUUAAAAUCCUUUUAAAUUUAUAUAUGUAAACAUUUGUAUAUUUGUAAGAUAAUAAUAAUAAUUGGUCUCACCAUUUAUACAUUGUUUAAAUUUAGAGUUUUGGCUUUCAUAUUAUUUUUAUUAUAUUAUUUGGUAUAUAUCAGAUGUAUACUAAAUAUGUUUUUUUAUGAUCUGGUUAAAUAUUAUCUAAAUAUUAUGAAGUGUUAAUUGUUUUUUAAAACACACUUCAUUGUAAAUAGAAAACAAAUACUACAAUGUUUUUAUAUUUCUAUAAAUUGUAUAUGUAUGUUAUUAAUUUUAUGAUUUUACCGAAACCAUAUUCUACAUAAUUUAUUUCUAAAAAAAAUAUCAACUUAUCAUUUUUCUAUUUAUGCCAUAUUUUGAAUCCCUUUAAUUGAGAACCAAAUUAAAUUAUUAUAUUUAUUAAUUAAUAUAAUAUUAAUUUAUAGAGUUUAAUUAGGCUUAAGUUUUGGGCCGGCCAAUUCGUUGACAUCAUAUUAUUAGUAUACUUAUGAAACUACAUAAUUCUUGUAUAUAAGUUCAUGGUACAUAGUCAAGAUGUUUACAUUCUUAAUGUUGUUGACGAAACGGAUUCAUGAAACUUUUCUUCAUGAAAAACAAUGAAACAUCAACAGUAUUACUGCAUGCAAAAUAAUCAUCAACUAGAUUUUGACUCGCACAUCCGUGCGGAUGUUACCAAAUGUGAAGGUAGUUGACGAUCGGUGGUUUGUUGGAAAUGCAGCUUGAUGUAAUAACUUGAUGAAACUCAUGAAAUUGAUAUCGAGAAAUAAGACCAACCAAAUUACUUUAAAGAAGAAUAAAACCAGAAUAAAGUUUGAGACAAUAUUAUACUUUUUAUUACUCUGUUUUGUAUCAAUAUCCAGUAGAUUUGAUGUGGUUCUAAUGUGUUAUAUUUUGUUCUUGAUUUCCGACUUGAAGCUGUUAUUUCUGUGUGUUUACGUAUAGUUUUGAUUCAGAAUUAUGUGGGUUUGAUACUCAUGAGUUCUAUUUCUGCCUGUCAUUUGGAUUGAGGGUUUUUUCGUUCCUGAUGAAUCAUAUUCGUUGUAUUGAUUGUGUUAUUACAGUUCAAAUGAGUAAUAGAUUUUGACUUAAGGCUUAUGUUGGUAUUCCUUAUAAUAUUGAGUAUUGUUUUGUUUGUUCAAUUUACUAUGCUUGUACUGUUUGUUUUUGCCUUUGGACCCGUGUGUUUUUUUUUUUACAUUGUAUUUGUCGUGUUGAAAGUUUUCGUAAGGAAGAAUCUAUUUCGAAAAAAUAUUUGUCGAAGAAAGUUUUUCGUUUUCUUCUUCGGACGUUUUGAAUGUUAAGUUCGUUCUAACCGUUUUCGACCCCAACAGGAACCGCCAUUUCUCUGCCUCAUCAUAUCCCUAUACCUCAUUCUCGACACUUCUCCUCUCACUGUCUUUCCCUUGGACUCGUAAGCUCACAAUCCCAUGAUUCAGAAAGCAGAGCUGAGAGUGAUAACAAUGAAGCUGUCUCCGGAGAUGAUCUUGAAGCAGGAGAUGAACCUCUAAGGAAGAAGAAACGUUACUAGCGUCACACUGCUAAACAAAUUCAAGACCUCGAAUCCUAAUACUCUUUCUUCUUAAUAAUCGUAAUACUUUUUCUUCUUAACCAC